rnacentral:rRNA from 1 species
GACGAACGCUGGCGGCGUGCUUAACACAUGCAAGUCGUACGGUAAGGCCCUUUCGGGGGUACACGAGUGGCGAACGGGUGAGUAACACGUGAGUAACCUGCCCACAACUUUGGGAUAACGCUAGGAAACUGGUGCUAAUACUGGAUAUGUGCUCCUGCUGCAUGGAGGGGGUUGGAAAGCUCCGGCGGUUGUGGAUGGACUCGCGGCCUAUCAGCUUGUUGGUGGGGUAGUGGCCUACCAAGGCGGCGACGGGUAGCCGGCCUGAGAGGGUGACCGGCCACAUUGGGACUGAGAUACGGCCCAGACUCCUACGGGAGGCAGCAGUGGGGAAUAUUGCACAAUGGGCGCAAGCCUGAUGCAGCAACGCCGCGUGCGGGAUGACGGCCUUCGGGUUAUAAACCGCUUUCAGCAGGGACGAAGCUUUUUGUGACGGUACCUGCAGAAGAAGCACCGGCUAACUACGUG